rnacentral:rRNA from 1 species
GUGUUACCAUGCAGUCGACGAUGAAGCCCAGCUUGCUGGGUGGAUUAGUGGCGAACGGGUGAGUAACACGUGAGUAACCUGCCCCCGACUCUGGGAUAAGCCCGGGAAACUGGGUCUAAUACCGGAUAUUACCUCUUGCCGCAUGGCAGGUGGUGGAAAGAUUUAUCGGUUGGGGAUGGACUCGCGGCCUAUCAGCUUGUUGGUGAGGUAAUGGCUCACCAAGGCGACGACGGGUAGCCGGCCUGAGAGGGUGACCGGCCACACUGGGACUGAGACACGGCCCAGACUCCUACGGGGAGGCAGCCAGUGGGGGAAUAUUGCACCAAUGGGCGAAAGCCUGGAUGNCAGCCGACGCCGCGGUGAAGGGGAAUGACGGCCCUUCCGGGGUUGUAAACCCUCUUUUCCAGUGAAGGGGAAAAGAAAGCCGAAAAGUGGACGGGGUACCCUGGCA